rnacentral:lncRNA from 1 species
UCAAGCCCAGGUACUACUAAGAAUGUCAUCAAAAACUUUAUUGUGGGGAUCCCUGGGUGGCGCAGCGGUUUGGCGCCUGCCUUUGGCCCAGGGCGCCAUCCGGGAGACCCUGGAUCGAAUCCCACGUCGGGCUCCCGGUGCAUGGAGCCUGCUUCUCCCUCUGCCUGUGUCUCUGCCUCUCUCUCUCUCUCUGUGACUAUCAUAAAAAAAAAUUAAAAAAAAACUUUAUUGUGUGCAUAGUUACAUGUAGAAAGAAAACCUAUAAACCACUUAAAACUAUGGAUAACUGUAGAUCUUGAACUUGGUUCCUUAUGAUUCUUCAAAAUGAGUAUUAUGAGGGAAAGGAUUUUGUAUCUUGGACAAAAAUAGUUUUGGAGACCUAUAAAUGUUUCCCAUUGAUGUCAACAUAUCACACAGGCAGGUAGCAUAUCUCUAUCUGGCCCCACAAUUAUUUGACAACAUUUUUGUCACAGCAGAGGAUCUCAGAUGGUACAGUGGUGUUUGUAUCCCAUCAGCAGCCAAAAGCCAGGAGUUGUCUGCCAAAGUUGUAAGCGCAUGUAUGCUGUGUAUGCUGUGGCGUAGCUGACAGCGGCCUCAAGGAGUAUGUCAUAGGAAAUUCUAAGGACGAUGAAGCCAGACUCCACUCUGCAUGGAUCCACAGCAGUUUAGGGGUACGACCUGUCUGAUCCUGGCAUAACUCCCAGAGAUGGUACUUCCACCUUGCCCAGAGCAAGAGCUCCAUGGAGAAUGGCCAUAAAGAGUCACUCUGAAGCAGAUGAAAUCUCAGCAUGAGAGAGAGAUGAGUGUUCUAGUUGAAGUGAGGGCCAUGUUCCAGGAGACACAUCAGCUCUGCCCUUUCAGCUUCCACUAUACCUUUUCCAGGAGAACUUGGAUCAUUUCCACAUCAAGAAAUGCAGUUUGGAAACCCACUGGACCAGGAAAGCAAAGAUCGCUACAGAGUGAAUUCGAACCAACUUAAAAAAGUCAAUACCAAGCCUGGCACUGAAGAAAAAUGAUACCGCUUCCAUAUGUGCUCUGAAGCUCCUGAGAAGAGAGAAAUUAGCAGCAAAAAAUUAAAAAAAUAAUAUAAAAAAUAUAUAUA